rnacentral:sRNA from 1 species
AAACAUUUCUGCUAAAGAAACGUUGUGUACUGAUAAAUUAAAAGAAUGAAGGCAAUUAUUCUUUUAACCAUUUUGUUGGUGUCUUGUGCUACAUUUGGUGAAAUUCUAGCUGAAGAAAGCAGAGCAGUGAAUGAAAAUAAUGCUCUAGAAUCAGAACUGACUCAAAUGUCAGAAGCAGAGAAACGUCUUUUCACCAAUUGUAAUAAUGACCCAAAAUGUAUAAAUGGAUAAUUUGGUGGAAGAAAAUGAACAAGUUGAAAAAAAGUAUUCCUUGUUUCAAUAUCAUUUUCAAAAACUAAUAAAAUCUUCAUAAACAUAAACCAAUA